rnacentral:rRNA from 1 species
CACGUAGGCGGACUCUUAAGUCGGUGGUGAAAUCCUGGAGCUCAACUCCAGAACUGCCUUCGAUACUGGGAGUCUUGGAGUCCGGGAGAGGUGAGUGGAACUGCGAGUGUAGAGGUGAAAUUCGUAGAUAUUCGCAAGAACACCAGUGGCGAAGGCGGCUCACUGGCCCGGUACUGACGCUGAGGUGCGAAAGCGUGGGAGCAAACA